rnacentral:lncRNA from 10 species
UAUUUUUAUAGCAAUGCAAGAACUGACUAAUACACCCAGACUGUGAAGUACAAUAAAUAUCUAACUCUUCAAUGCUCAGACACAAACAAACAUCCACAAGUAUCAGGAUCAUCCAGGAAAACACGACCUCACCAAAUGAACUAAAGUCACCAGUGAACAAUCCUGGAUGGGCAUACCAGGAUGUAAAGGCCCCUGAUGGAUGAGGUGAGGCCCACCUUCUGCGGGGAGGACACUCUGCUUGCCUCGGUCUGCAGAUUUGAAUGCUAGUCCCAUCCAGAAACAUCCUCGCAAACACAGAGGCUUGACCAAAUGUCUGAGCACCCCCAAGGUCCCAUCAAGGCGACACAUAAAAUUCACCAUCACGCACGGCGAGACCAUCAGCCACGGGGCUGGAAAGAAAUGCCCCCAGUUGGCUUGCUCUCUGCCAGAGCCAGCACCCAGCGCCACCCGUCCCUAACCUGUCCUGCGUCCUCACCCUCAGGCCCCAUACCUCUCUGUGUUUCCCAGGCUCCGUGCAUUCCUGCACAGACCUCUCAGACCAGUGGGGUCUUUCUCAUGGCUGCCAUCCGGCAUCUCCGAACAAUCCUGCCUUCUGUUUUAUUGUUUGUUGGGUAAACGAGCUGGAUUAUGAACAAGCUCCCUCUUCCUGAUUCUCCCACACACAACCAACC